rnacentral:rRNA from 1 species
GACGAACGCUGGCGGCGUGCUUAACACAUGCAAGUCGAGCGGUAAGGCCCCUUCGGGGUACACGAGUGGCUAACGGGUGAGUAACACGUGGGUGAUCUGCCCUGCACUUUGGGAUAAGCCUGGGAAACUGGGUCUAAUACCGAAUAGGACUCCGGACUGCAUGGUCUGGGGUGGAAAGCUUUUGCGGUGUGGGAUGGGCCCGCGGCCUAUCAGCUUGUUGGUGGGGUGAUGGCCUACCAAGGCGACGACGGGUAGCCGGCCUGAGAGGGUGACCGGCCACACUGGGACUGAGAUACGGCCCAGACUCCUACGGGAGGCAGCAGUGGGGAAUAUUGCACAAUGGGCGCAAGCCUGAUGCAGCGACGCCGCGUGAGGGAUGACGGCCUUCGGGUUGUAAACCUCUUUCAGCACAGACGAAGCGCAAGUGACGGUAUGUGCAGAAGAAGGACCGGCCAACUACGUGCCAGCCGCCGCCGUAAAAC